AUGAAGUCAAGUCACAUGGAAGGCAAGAUCAAGCCCAAAAUGCUGACUGUGAAUUCUCUCUCAGUGUGAAAUGUUGUCUCUUCUGACGUAACUAGCUGAGAGCACUGGGAUAUUAAAGUCAUGGCUAGGUAAAAAAUAGAUCCUGAAGAGCAUAAUAGAAAAAAUUGUAAUAGAUGGAAAGCUGUUUUUAAACUUUCCUAUAAAAUGAUAGAUAUAGUCCUACAAACCCUUACUCAGGUGAUUAGGCCCAUGGCUGCUAUUUGCCUAUAUUUUCUACCAUACCUAACGUAGCAGCUGAUCCUGAAUUUUCAUGUAAGCAAGGAUUGCGCUGGUGUGAAUGGCUUCUCAGGACUGUGUCCCAUGAGACCAAUCCACGUUAGAUUUUUUAAAUUUCCAUAAUCUUUAUUUCCAUUUAUUCAUAAAUGGCUGUCACUUUAUUUCAUAAAUGUACAAUAUAUGUUUUGAACUGCUGAUGCUGUGUUCAGCAGAGCUGGACAGGAUUAGUUGUGGGCUGUAAGAUUAAGUGGCACACCAGGCAGGUGAGGGUCUUGUUUUGAUUUUAAGCAUGUUCCUCCCCCUGCAAAAACACCAAUGGGAGGUGAUAUUCACGUAAUUUUGCAGGUUUGCUUUACCCAUAGAUUGUCAUAUUAACCCAGCAUAAUGCAGGUGCAAGAUCCCAUGCUGAUGGAAGGGCAAGGUGUCUGCAUAGCCAGUAGUGCCACAAAAAGUUGUGGUACUGAUUUGGUGGGGGCAUAACCAGGGUCCGACUGCAAGAUCCUGUGAGCUGUGUAAGGUGACUGAUUCUACCUUAAAUGUUACAAGAUAAAUUAAAUCCAAACAAAUUGACUUAGUGCAUUGUAUCAAGCAUCUAAAAGUCAGAGACAUCUGAGAUUUGUGGUUAUCUGCAUCCAUGCCAAGAUCGGCAAAUAUGGUUCAUGGAUAUAAAGCAGCUAUUCACAGAUUUGCAGGGCUCUAGAUAUAAAAUUUGGAUUUGCCUCCAUAUGUGAUCCACAAAUAUAGUAUGCAGAUAUAAAAUGGAUAUCUGCAGAUUUGCGGGGCUCUAGUUAUUUGCAGUGGGUUACAGUGGCCAAAUAUCACAGAUGGACUAUUUUCAGGAAGCAAAACCCUGUUUUUCUUAAACAUGUCUGUGUAAGUAAAUCUCUUUCUCAACCCUAGAUGCUGUUCAGUAUAAGCCAGGGGUUCUCAAACUGGGGGUCGGGACCCCUCGGGGGGGUCGUGAGGUUAUUACAUAGGGGGUUGCAAGCUGUCAGCCACCACCUCAAACCCUGCUUUUCCUCCAGCAUUUAUAAUGGUGUUAAAUGCAUUUUUAUAUAUUUUUCAUUUAUGGGGGGGGGGGUCACACUCAGAGGCUUGUUAUGUGAAAGGGGUCACCAGUGCAAAAGUUUGAGAACUACUGGUAUAAGUUGAAUUAAGGUUAUAGAAAAAACAUUAACAUUUUGAUCCUCCUGACAUUCUAAAAUAUAUGCUCUAGCUCAACCUGAAGUUAUGAGGUAGAUGAAGGAAUACUGGUUGGAACUGAGGGCAGGGGGAGGGGAGAGAAUUCUAUGGCAUGGCACGUCAGCAACAAAUUUAGAUUUCAAAAGAGCAGACUUUGAGAAACUAAAGGAACUAGUUAGUGAAGUCAAUGGGACUGAAGAGCUGAGGCAUUUAAAUGCUUGCAUCCCAAGCAAGGAGGAAAAGACUUUCAGGGAAGGGCUUCAGACCUAACUGGAUGAAUAACCACUUCAAAACAGAUAUUAGGCAUAAGCAGAGAGCCUAUGAGGAAUGGAAGAAGGCACUGAUCAGCAAAGAAAGCUAUAUCUUGGAGGUAAAAAUGUGUAGGUCUCAAGGGAGAAUUGCUAAAAGUCAAGCAGAAUUAGCCAUUGUGAAGGAAAUUAAAACAAAUAGAGGUUCUUUAGCCAUAUAAAUAAAAAGAGUCCAAGAAGAGAAAAAGAGAACAACAUAAAAAUUAAGAAACGAGUUAAACAGAAAUUAAAAGGAGUAGUCACAAAGGUGAAAUGCCUGCAAAACUGCCUGGCAACUACUUAAAAACACCAUAAUAGAGGCUCAAAUUAAAUGUAUACCCCCAAAUUAAAAAAAAAACUGUAAGAAGACUAAAAAAAAAUGCUACCAUACUAAACAGCAGAGAAAUAGAGCCCGUGUGAGACAAAAGGCAUCAUUUUAAAAAUUGGAAGUCAAAUACAAGUGAGGACAAUAGAAAGGAGCAUAAACUCUGGCAAGUCAUGUGAAAGUAUAGUAAGGCAGGCCAAGAAAGAAUUUGAAGACCAACUAGACAAGGAUACACAAACUAACAACAAAAGUAUUUGUAAGUACAGCAGACUCAGGAAGCCUGCCAAACAGUCAGGCCACUGGACAACUGAGCUGCUAAAGGAGCACCCAAGGAAAACAUGGCUGCCGCGGAGGAGCUAAACAGGAUGCAGAAGUUAUCCUGGCAAUUACUGGCAGUGACCACUAGAUUAAGUUAUCUCCCCUUGAUACAAGCAAAGUUCCUUGAGACACAUCUGGAGCUUCCUGCUGGUGUCCUGGGGCAUCCACAGCAAACCAGUCAGAAGACAGUCAAUGAGAGUGGAGCCGAGCCCAAAAACCAGAAGCGAACAAGCAAUUCACAAAGAGGGACAGUGCCAGUUUUAUUUCUCUCACCAAGAAACUAACGCAGCAAGAAUAGUAUCUGCUCAGAGAGAAACUCUCAGCUGUACUUUCUGCUUGAGCCAAGAGUUAGGGCAGAAAGGAGAAUGAUGCAAAGAAAGUGUUCCUUGGGAGAGAUGAUGUGUCUGUGCUUGUACCAAACCUCUGUAUUUGCAGCACAAUUGGUCAAAUGGGGAAAUCUUCAGCUGCACAACAGCACUUGGGACAAACAGUCCUGCUGAAAGCUGUGUGGCCCAGACAAGAGGUUCCAGGCUGAAAUUCCUUGUGACUUUCCCAGUUUAAAAAUAUUUAAUCACAAAGACCGAACUAGAAUCAGGGAAGAAGAGGAAUAAUUGAGUAUGAAGAAGUUAAAUAGUCUGAGUCCUAUUACGAAACCCUUGUUGGUUCAGCUUGGCACCUCCUCAAAGAAGAUAUAGCCAGGUGUGAGUUAU